GACGAACGCUGGCGGCGUGCCUAAUACAUGCAAGUCGAGCGGACUGAUUAAGAGCUUGCUCUAAUGACGUUAGCGGCGGACGGGUGAGUAACACGUGGGCAACCUGCCCUGUAGAUCGGGAUAACACCGAGAAAUCGGUGCUAAUACCGGGUAAUAUCUGAGAUCACAUGAUCGUAGGUUAAAAGAUGGCUCCGGCUAUCACUACAGGAUGGGCCCGCGGCGCAUUAGCUAGUUGGUAAGGUAAUGGCUUACCAAGGCGACGAUGCGUAGCCGACCUGAGAGGGGGAUCGGCCACCCUGGGUCUGCGACACGGCCCAGACUCCGCCGGGGUGCAGCAGUAGGGAAUCUUCCGCAAUGGGCGAAAGUCUGACGGAUCAACGCCGCGUGCGUGAUGAAGGGUUUCGGCUCGUCAAGCUCUGUUGUUAGGGAAGAAACAGUACCGAACGAACUAGGUCGGUACCUUGACGGUACCUAACCAGAAAGCCACGGCUAACUACGUG
rnacentral:rRNA from 1 species